UGCUGCAGUCAGCAUAACUGAGAGAAGCUUUGGGCUUGAAGGUCCUGAAACACAGACACUCAACUCCCACGGGUAACAAUCAACUUGAAAAAUGAGCACGGUUGUUGUCUUCCCUGCGCCAAUCUCAGUCUAGGUGUGCCUGGGCUACCCAGCUCUUGAACCACUUUCCCUCCUUCCUAUGGCAGUAGUGGGUUCAACACUACAAGGCUGCUCUUUUCAUCUAGGGAAAGGAUCCAGCAGCUUCAGGAGCAGUUCUUUCCUUGAUCCUCUUCAGCUCAUUCACCUGGUCCCAAUUCCUAUACUCCCUGAGCAAGCAGAAGUGUGUACACACAAAAAAGGUGAAAUAAAGGAAAGCCAGCUGAUCUGCCUGAAAGGAUGCAGAAGACGUGGCCAAGGAUGAGAUACAAUGGAGAGGGAAAAGACUUAAUAAAGUUCUGAGGAACUUUCUUUUCAGACCCAAACUUUUGAAGACUUACCUGUUCCAAGCCCUGAACUAUUUACAUGUUAUUCACCUUUCUUUCAAAUAGUGUUUGGGGUUUUUUUUUAAUUAUCCAAAUUUUUCAAAUCUACUGCCAGUCAUUUUCUCACCUGACAUUUUCUGGACAAUUUUAUUUGAAAUAAAUUACAGUGAAGUUUGCCAUCUAGUUGCUAAGCCUUGAAGUACAUCACAAAUAAUGAUAUGGGCAAGUAUUUUCUACAUACUAACAGAUAUUCUCACAAUUCAGUCAGUUUUCCAACACUGGAUGUCACUUCUGCCAACACAAUAUUAUGUCUCCAAAUACUCAAGCCUGUAUUUUUGUAUAUAUAGUCAAUAACAGGUGCAAAUAUUAUUAGUUAGGUCCAUAUUAUUAGCGGUAAUUAAAUUUAUAAUGGAACCAACCAAGAAUGGGGUCCAGUUCUGAUAAAAGCUGUACAGACCCCAGGUAGAAGACAGCUGGUAUCCCAGAAAGAUUGUGUCACAUUUGAAAAGCUUUUCUUGAAGUUCAGCAUAUGUACAAAGCUCAGGGACAGGUAAUAGGUGAAUAAAUGUGCCUGCAAAAAAGGAAGCUGAGCUGAAUUCAGCCAGAAAAUCUGGCACCAAAUGUGUGUGUAUAAUUCAUGCACUUGAAUGUAAAUUUGAUUAAAAACCAGAAGCUUACUUGCUUGAUGUCCCAUGCAAAUUAGUCAAUAAUGUAAAGUUGUUUCUCACACUUCGUAAACUUGCCAGGACCUAAAUUAAACAGAAAUAAAUACUGUAUGAUUCUUAUAAACAUGCACUUUUUCAAAGCAUGCCUUAACAUAGAACAAUAGAUGCCAAUGUACUACCUUUCAUUCACACAUGUAUAAAUAUAUAUAGAUAUUUAUACAUAAGGUAGUACUAUGAGGUAGGCCAAAAGAAUAUGUGAAAUUUACCUGUGCAAAAGGUGUAACAAUCAGGUCAUCGCCAUGUCUGAUAAAAAAAAAAAAAAAAUUGUAAAACAUUUUGCAUUUUAAAGAAUGCUUGUCAAUAUUUUAGUGCAGCAUAAUACGUGUACACGCUCAAACUGUGUGAUUUAAACAUUCAACAGAAUGUAAUACUUAAAUACACACACAGCAACCUCUUCAUCAAGCAUUAUGCCAGCCUUCGAUUUGGUAGUGCAAGUUCUGCCUGUUUCCAAAUCAAUGCAUCAACCAAAGUGGGAGUGCACCCUGUGUACCCAAACACAAUACGUACAUGUUCAAAAUUGGGCAGCCAUGUACUCAGUUAACUUGGCUAGGCAAAUUUGAAGGUUGGAAUGAAAAAUUUGCCUUUCACUGCUUAUGAGAAAAAUAUAAAUAUUUAUACCAAAUUCGGUUUAAGUUUCAAAUUGGAAAAAGAAUGUUUUACAAUGGAAUCUUGUAUCAUAUACCCUCAUGACUGAAAACACAAAUCUUUAGCACAUGUACUUUUUCUUUAACAUUAUAUAAACGGUUGCCCCUAAUGGAAAGGCCUCCUAGUCAUAGUGUAUGUUCACAGACAAAAAAAUAACUCAAGCUGGAACAACUACCCAGGUUUUGGUAAUACAAGGCAAUAAAAGCCAGGAAAUUUAAAGUUAAGGCUGCACAGUCAUACUGUGAUGGAAAGAAAAGCAUAACAGUCUCAGUAAAGGUCAGCUUUGAAUUUCCUGACUUUUGUUGAUUUGUGGUACACUCCUUAAUGUUAUUUAAACAUUGGUUUUCGUCUGUGGUUUUUCAUCAUGGAAGAUUAGAGGAUAUGUCCUGUGCAAAACUCAUUAUCUUUACUGUUUGUUUCUGGUAACUAUUUAUUUUAUAUGAUCAACAACAUACAUACUGAGGUUUGGGAAAGUGUUGUUUUUGUUCAGUUGAAUACUGAACACAAACUAUAACAUAAUAAACCUAUGCAUGUAUAUACAUACUUUAGUGUGCAGAUUGGCAUUGACUGAUUAUACUCACUAUCUGUUUUGUCAAAUGUUAAGAUGCAUGGUUUACAUGAAACAUAGUAUUUACAUAAUUUGGAACUUUUACUGUCUCUUAGAUAAAUAUUUACUAAAUGCUAACAGUUGCUAUACAGGCUGUCUUUGUAGGCAUUUCUCAUGUAGUUUGACCAUCUUGCUACUGUUUAUAUUUCAAUUCAAUGUAAAACAUUUAUGAUUAUUAUAGUAUAUAAGAAUUUAACACUUUAAAAGAAAAAGUUAAAAUUUAUGGAGACUAACUUCUAUUCUUAAUGAAUAAAUGUAUCAAUCACGCCUUCAGAUGCCUCACUUAGGUUGUAGGUGUACCUGUUACAGAUAACAAUGAAGAUAACCAAAAUUCUUACUUUCUGAUGUAAUGGUGUUUAGAUAUAAUUUUCAGAGCUGAAUUUAUACCUUCUUACCUGAAUUGUUUUAGAAAUGUAAUUAAAAGACAUAAUCAUUUUCUAAUUCGUUGGCUAAAAGUAGUUCCUAAGAUCUCCAUAUUUUUUCCAGUGAUACCUGGAAGUACUACCAAGGACUCUUAAAAUGUUUAUAAAAGUUCAAUAAGCUUCAGUUCAAACACUACAGAAAUUCUGAGAGACCCUUCAUUCUCAUUCAAAAUGAAAAUAGCUUAUGUUACCUUUUCCCAAUUUUAAUGCCAACCCAUUUUUAAACACAAGACCAUUUAGUAUGAAACCACCCUCUAUCACAACGGGCAACUAGUGAUGCGAUACAGAUACCAUCCAUUUAAGGUCAGCAGACUGAAUUUGGCCAUCAGUAACUGGUACUGGAUGGCUGCCUCUUUGGGCAAUGAAAUGAAGCCAUGUCCUACAUAAGAAUUCUCACCACAAAAAACACCCUUAGGGCUGGUGCUAACUGGUACUACCAGCGGUAGUGUCUGAAAUGAGGUUAAGAAAUAGCUAGGCUUGAAAAAUUAAAUAGUCUCCAGUACAUGAAAUGACAGGAAAUGAGCAGAGCAGCAUGAGACUAAAGUUACUCCUAUUGGCUACAUACAGAUAUUUGGGGAGGUUAGAGUGCAUUAAAAAUGGCCACCCAAUCUAACUUAGUUCACCCAGGUGCAGACCUUAGACUAGUUAGGUGUUUCUCCAAGUAAACUGUACAGAAGUUCAGGAAAUGUAGAUGGGUCUUAAAUGGCUGACCCGCUUUAAUUUAAGUGUACCUCUGCGGUAGUUUAACUUAGCUCAGGUUUGGUGAGACUGAUUUAAAUGAACUUCUGUACAGAUCCCAGAGUGGAUCCAGGGCUUGGAAAGCCCAGCCUCUGGCCUCCACCCAACGGCUGUGAGCUUUUCCUAUCCUCUCCCUGGCAUCAGGCUAUUUUUAGCCCCCCUCCAGCCUGUCCCCUCAACCCCCAGACAGACAACCCCUCACUGUGAACCAGCAAGCAACCCCCAAGCCUGCCAACCCCCCAUCCUGCAAGCUGCUCCUAGUGCCAGUUUUGUUAGUGUUUGUCGAUGCCAGGAGCUGAGGAAGUAAGUUGAGAUGAGAGAGAGGCAGGAGGGAUGGGGGGGUAGGCUGGCUGGGGUGGGGGGGCUUCUUUGACUGGAGCUGGGAGGAGUUGAAGGACUAAAAAUAGCUCCCGGUCCCUGGGGGUGAGGAGAGGGUCCCCCACAUUUCCCAACCCUCCCCGCCAGACCCUGUGAGCCUCCUGAUCCUGCCAAACCCUUCUGAAACCCAACAGCCCCCUAUAGACCAUGCCUGUCCCCCUAAUCCUCCUCAGCUGCCCCAAUCCUUCCCAGAGCCUGCUUGCCCCCUGAUCCCCGCAACUGCCCCCCUAGCCCUCCCAUCCUGGCUUACCUUAGAUUGGAUGGCAAUCUAACCUCUCCCUAACCGAAUGUCUGUAUGCAGCCAUAAUUUAGGGCUGAUCUAAUGUAGUCAAACUGAUCUACAGAAAAAAAACAACAACCCUUCAGUUUCGGGCACCUUUCCCCAGAAAUGACAUCACUUUAAAAUGUACCUCAACAUUUUUUUCCUCCUCUAUACAUCUUUAGAAAUAUUGGUGUCUUUGCCAAGUAUAAGGCAGUCAGUUGCUGGGAAAAUGUUAGCUACACUGAUUUGGUGUCCCUUCUUCAUUUAGGAACAUGGAAAGGUCUUUCUAAUGAGGCCAACUUUGCUGUUUAUGCAUACCCCCCUAACAAGCAAGCAAGAAAGGCAUCGGUAAAACUUUAAAAUGUGUAUUUUAAAAUAAAACUUGCAACUCGUGCAAAAAAUGAAAGCUUUAACUAAAUUUUGUAUUGAUCCUGUCUAUCAAACUAGCUAUCUAGGCUUUAUAUUCUGUUCUCAUCUCUAUAAAGUAUUGCUAAACAGAACGUAAAAACAAAAUAUCAUAUGGAAGAUUUUAUAUAUUUUAAAUCCAGAUAAGUGAUUCAGGUAAUUAGGUAAUAAACAACAGCCAGUCUCAUACUGAAAACAAACUGAUUUACCUAGAAGUAAAUCCUAGAAGUGCCAUAUUGUCAGACAGUGGUUUAGUAUUGAUUUGCAAAGCUCUCCUUUUAAGCGAAAGAGAAACGGGAAACAUUUUUUUAACAGAUUAAAACAGUGAGUCUUGAGGCUGGGUUGUUAAUUCCUGAUAUACCUCAAUUUGUAUUGUAAAGCCAUUUUGUCUCAGGUACUCUACCUUUAGAAAAUAAAUAAUUAUUACCA